UAACUACUGGAAACGGUAGCUAAUACCGCAUAACGUCGCAAGACCAAAGUGGGGGACCUUCGGGCCUCAUGCCAUCAGAUGUGCCCAGAUGGGAUUAGCUAGUAGGUGGGGUAACGGCUCACCUAGGCGACGAUCCCUAGCUGGUCUGAGAGGAUGACCAGCCACACUGGAACUGAGACACGGUCCAGACUCCUACGGGAGGCAGCAGUGGGGAAUAUUGCACAAUGGGCGCAAGCCUGAUGCAGCCAUGCCGCGUGUGUGAAGAAGGCCUUCGGGUUGUAAAGCACUUUCAGCGGGGAGGAAGGCGUUAAGGUUAAUAACCUCAUCGAUUGACGUUACCCGCAGAAGAAGCACCGGCUAACUCCGUGCCAGCAGCCGCGGUAAUACGGAGGGUGCAAGCGUUAAUCGGAAUUACUGGGCGUAAAGCGCACGCAGGCGGUCUGUCAAGUCGGAUGUGAAAUCCCCGGGCUCAACCUGGGAACUGCAUUCGAAACUGGCAGGCUAGAGUCUUGUAGAGGGGGGUAGAAUUCCAGGUGUAGCGGUGAAAUGCGUAGAGAUCUGGAGGAAUACCGGUGGCGAAGGCGGCCCCCUGGACAAAGACUGACGCUCAGGUGCGAAAGCGUGGGGAGCAAA
rnacentral:rRNA from 1 species